rnacentral:tRNA from 1 species
GCGGAAGUGGUGAAACUGGCAGACACGCAGGAUUUAGGUUCCUGUGCCUUCGGGCGUGAGGGUUCAAGUCCCUUCUUCCGCA